GAGGAAGUAAAAGUCGUAACAAGGUUUCCGUAGGUGAACCUGCGGAAGGAUCAUUAUUGAAUUCCAACUGGGUGAGAUUGAUGCUGGCUCUCGAGCAUGUGCACGUCUCAUUCAUUUACCUCUCACCUCUGUGCACCUUUCACAGGACAGCUGGUGGCCAUUGGCUUCAUUGCUCAUGACUACAGGUUGCUUUGUGUGCUUUAUAAACUCAAAAUUAAGUUUAGAAUGUUUACUGUGUAUCCACACAUUUAAAUACAACUUUCAGCAACGGAUCUCUUGGCUCUCGCAUCGAUGAAGAACGCAGCGAAAUGCGAUAAGUAAUGUGAAUUGCAGAAUUCAGUGAAUCAUCGAAUCUUUGAACGCACCUUGCGCUCCUUGGUAUUCCGAGGAGCAUGCCUGUUUGAGUGUCAUGGUAUUCUCAAUUCCUUCAGUUUUUGCUGAGGUGAUAUUGGACUUGGAGGUUAUUGCUGGCAUCCUCGUGAAACCAGCUCCUCUUAAAUGCAUCAGUGUGAAUGCUCACUUCAUACUCAGUGUGAUAAUUAUCUAUGCUGUGUGUGAGUGAUACAACUUCAUGCUUCGAACCGUCGCAAGACAUACUUUUGACUUCUGACCUCAAAUCAGGUAGGAUUACCCGCUGAACUUAAGCAUAUC
rnacentral:rRNA from 1 species